AGCAGCCGCGGUAAUUCCAGCUCCAAUAGCGUAUAUUAAAGUUGUUGCAGUUAAAAAGCUCGUAGUUGAAUUUCGGAAUCUGUCCAUCGGUCGGGCUUCACUGUCCGUACUGGUGUGGUGGGUUCUUACCUUCUGAAUAACCAGCAUGCCAUUCACUUGGUGCGUUGGGGAAGCAGGACUAUUACCUUGAAAAAUUAGAGUGCUCAAAGCAGGCUAGUGCCUGAAUACAUUAGCAUGGAAUAAUAAAAUAGGACGGCAUGGUUCUAUUUUGUUGGUUUCUAGGAUCACCGUAAUGAUUAAUAGGGAUAGUUGGGGGCAUUAGUAUUCAAUUGUCAGGGGUGAAAUUCUUGGAUUUAUUGAAGACUAACUUCUGCGAAAGCAUUUGCCAAGGAUGUUUUCAUUAAUCAAGAACGAAAGUUAGGGGAUCGAAGACGAUCAGAUACCGUCGUAGUCUUAACCAUAAACUAUGCCGACUAGGGAUCGGACGAUGUUAAUUUUUAAUGACUCGUUCGGCGUACCG
rnacentral:rRNA from 1 species